GAUGAAGAACGUAGCGAAAUGCGAUACGUAAUGUGAAUUGCAGAAUUCAGUGAAUCAUCGAAUCUUUGAACGCAUAUUGCGCUCUCUGGUAUUCCGGAGAGCAUGCUUGUUUGAGUAUCAGUAAACACCUCAACUUCCAUAUCUUUUUUUGAAAUGGGAGUUGGACUUGAGUGAUCCCAACGCUUUUCCUCACCGAAAAGUGGCGGGUUACUUGAAAUGCAGGUGCAGCUGGACUUUUCUCUGAGCUAUAAGCAUAUCUAUUUAGUCUGCCUAAAAAACAGAUUAUUACCUUUGCUGCAGCUAACAUAAAGGAGAUUAGUUCUUGUGCUGACUGAUGCAGGAUUCACAAAGACAGCUUCUGCCGACUUUGUAAACUCGAUCUCAAAUCAAGUAAGACUACCCGCUGAACUUAAGCAUAUCAAUAAGCGGAGGA
rnacentral:misc_RNA from 1 species